CCCUAAUUCUGGAUCAGCAAGCGAGGGGGAAAGACCGGACCGCUACGAUCCACCCCCUCCCUGCCCCCACCGCCCAUCCUAAAGCACCUUAUAUCGCGGAAACCACUCAGCCUCCUCUUUCCUCCGAGAACACGCGGAGCAGCCCCUGAAAACGCUUUGGUCCUCUGCAGGUUUGAGCAGAGCUAGCAGCUCUUUCGCCUUUGGAUUUCUAGGGCUAUGCCUAUAUGAAAUUCUUUAUUUCAUCGAUCAUUUCGAUUUUCAUGCGAGAACUCUUCAGUCUUGCAGUUUGCAGGAUUCUAAACCAAGAAGGGGUGGAGAUUGGAGAAUGCGGUUCUGGCGUGUGGUCUGAGGGAGGGGUUAGAUGGGUAAGGGCGCGCGGGAUGCGCAAAUCGCUGAGACUGCACAGAGGACAAUCUGAGGACUCGCUUUCAAGACUCCAUCUCAGGAAAACAUUUCUCUCGUCCUGACUGCAUCUUCUCACCUUCCGAAGCCGGGAUUGAGUUGGGAACUCCCCUGUCGCCCCGCACAUUGCAGGGGCUCCCCGAGCUCGAUUCUAUAGGGGGAGCGCUCUGGGGUCUCCGCACAAAACCUGCUUUUGAGCCCUUUGGCUUUCUUCAGGCGAGCGCAGUCCGUCCAUCCCCCUGGCCCACCCAGCCGCAAGGGAUGCUGUGAAAAGAGCCGCUGCUUGCCGCCUCCGGCCUGCCGUCCAGAGGGCUCCGCCCGUAGAGGUCAACUCCCCUCAUUCUUCUUCUUUCCAUCUUGCCCUCCCUCCGCCGAGCCCAGACUCGGAUCUCCUCCUGACUCCCGCCGCAGUCAGAGAGAGCGCAUCUGCUGCGCUGCCCUUAAAUCUACGCCCAGAGCGGGCUCAGACCCGAUCUCUGCUCUCCAGAGCCGGAGGAAGCCCGAGCAAGCAGCCUUUUCUCUUCGCAGUAAAAUCAUAGCCAGACCAGAUGGGCCCCAGCUCUCCCGGGACUCGGCAGGUGCUGUUGAGUUAAUUUUUCCGCAAUACAAAGAAGGAGGACCCAGCCGGCCUGGGAUUCUGAUCUUUUCCCAAAAUUUCCCAACCAAAAUCGGGCUAUCAAAGGCGUAUACGUGUGUUUGUCGGACAUACAAACAUGCAUGAUUAUAUUCGCUUUUUCUGCUAGAUCUCUGGCAACAGGGGAUGAGUGACAAAGGUUUCUGCAGCAGAACACUCAUGGUGUGGUCCUUAAAGACUUGCCUUUCCUUACAAAUGUCUUAGGACGGCAUUCAGGGCGAACCAACUCAGUUAAUUGCCUUCAGUAAAAUAACACGAUUACGAAAUUAGAUCUGUACCAGAGGGGUAAUUAACUUCGAUCCAUGUCAUCAUUUGAAAACUAGAUUUAUAGACAUA
rnacentral:lncRNA from 1 species